GGUGCUUUGGCGCCCACAUCUCCGCGUAUCCCUUCCCGCUACCCUCUGGCUUGUAAUAACAAUGGAGUUAUCCGUGGUCUGGGAAGUGGUGUUGGGGCCGAGUGGGCAGGCGAGGGGCGAGAGGGGUUGGGACGCUAAGGGUUAAGUCCCAACCCGGGCAAUGGAAAGGACUCGCGAGUUCGCCGCCUGGGUGGAAUUCUAGCCUCCCAGGGCGGCCGCCAGCCCCCGCCGCCUGAGCUGCACUUGCUCCAUUGCCUGGCCCACGAGCAACAGGCUCAGAGGCCGGGCUUUCCCCGGAGCUAGUGCUCCUUCUGCCACUGGUGCCUGGGUGCGUCUGGACAGCCUGCGAGUGGGCCGGUGCGUCCCGCCAGUGCGUGCUCUGCAGCCUGACAAAGCUCGGCAAUUGCAAUAAAUUCAACUAUUGGGCCAGGUCCAGGACCUCCUGUAUAAAGCAGGCAUCCUCCAACUUGAUGAAUGUGAGUCUGGAACAAAAUUAAAAGGAGUCCAGCACAUUAUUGCAGUAUCAUCAAUUUGGAAAAAAAGAUGAGGGAACACCACCGAGCUAGAGUUUUCUUUCUGAGAAAAAGAGCUUGAUGAAAUUCAGAGCCAACUCUUUCAGCAAGAGGAUUGUUUGUUCACUGCUUGGCUGCAGGUUAGUUUGGCCAUUGUGUCUAUUUCCUGGAAGCAGUGUUCUGAGAGUGAAAUCCUGAUGCACAUUCACAGGAUGGUAUCAACGUGGCUUUCAAUCCUGUGAUUUUAUGGUUUCAUUACAAAGAUAUCCAGGUUUGUAAAACUAUGCUUUGAAAAUACAGCUGUUAGCCUGUUAAAAUGUGAGAGUACAGAAAAGUAACCUGUCACACACCGUGGAAUUUUCCAAAGCAGUUCACGGCUGUGCAUGUGGGCAGAUCUGCAUCUGUCUUUCCUUUCAGUUUGACACCUGGACACCUACGCAUAAGAGUGGGA
rnacentral:lncRNA from 1 species